GCCCCUCAACCCUCCAAGGCCACGGGAGGGGCUCCAGGGGCUCCAUGACGCCACUCACACUUACUGUCACCCUAGAAAGAUGGAAGCUGGUGAAAACCGAAACUAGCCACAUCUCUGCCUGCCCAAGGUAAAUUGAGAAGUGCCUCUUCUGUAAGGAGUAGCAUCCAUCUAAAUCUGGACAGAAACUUUUGUGUGCAGUCUAACGCGGGGGGAUUUAUGCCCCUGAAACCACUUUCUUUACAUUUCAGGCAAAAGAACCCGCAGGCAAAUCAUCGUGAUGGGAACCAAAACUACCCCCUCAAGCAACAACGACUGCCCUGAGCCAGCAAGACCCCACGUGACCUCAAGACAACAAUGACCUGACCUUCGCUUUCCACCUGCAGUACUCUCUGACCUCUGUCCCACAUUUUCCUUACAAACCCAGGAGUAUUUUCGGCACUUUGGAGAUUGUAUUUCAGAGGGUCCACUGUCUUCCUGGUGUUGCCCUUCCCUGAAAUAAAUUCCUUUCUUGUUCCGCCA